UAUGAUAUUCGGUGAAAUUCUUGUUAUUUGUACUCUAUUUUUUUUUUUACAGUAACCCUAUUCGAAAAAAUCGUGUCAACAGGGCGUGAAGUGAUACCAGAGUUGCGUCACCAUGGACGCGUCACCGUGGGUCAACCUGCUCUACCCCCAAGGUCUGAUAGCUGUAUAAAAGAGUGUUAUCACCUUACUGAAGAGCAUCACAAAACAGAGAGAGAGAGAGAGAGGGAGGGAGACUGCCUUCAACGUCCCAGUAUAGCUUCGAGGAAAUCUAGAGCCUCCUGCUUCUCAGGUUAAGAAAACUUCCACAAAUGGAAGAAAAUGAAUUAUCAAACUCUAUGAAUCAUAAUGAAAAACC